rnacentral:rRNA from 1 species
UACGGAGGGUGCAAGCGUUACUCGGAAUUACUGGGCGUAAAGCGUGCGUAGGUGGUCGUUUAAGUCUGUUGUGAAAGCCCUGGGCUCAACCUGGGAACUGCAGUGGAAACUGGACGACUAGAGUGUGGUAGAGGGUAGCGGAAUUCCCGGUGUAGCAGUGAAAUGCGUAGAGAUCGGGAGGAACAUCCAUGGCGAAGGCAGCUACCUGGACCAACACUGACACUGAGGCACGAAAGCGUGGGGAGCAAACAGG